UUAGCAGAGAUGCUUUAGUGCCUUCGGGAACUCUGAGACAGGUGCUGCAUGGCUGUCGUCAGCUCGUGUUGUGAAAUGUUGGGUUAAGUCCCGCAACGAGCGCAACCCUUAUCCUUUGUUGCCAGCGAUUCGGUCGGGAACUCAAAGGAGACUGCCGGUGAUAAACCGGAGGAAGGUGGGGAUGACGUCAAGUCAUCAUGGCCCUUACGAGUAGGGCUACACACGUGCUACAAUGGCGUAUACAAAGAGAAGCGACCUCGCGAGAGCAAGCGGAACUCAUAAAGUACGUCGUAGUCCGGAUUGGAGUCUGCAACUCGACUCCAUGAAGUCGGAAUCGCUAGUAAUCGUAGAUCAGAAUGCUACGGUGAAUACGUUCCCGGGCCUUGUACACACCGCCCGUCACACCAUGGGAGUGGGUUGCAAAAGAAGUAGGUAGCUUAACCUUCGGGAGGGCGCUUACCACUUUGUGAUUCAUGACUGGGGUGAAGUCGUAACAAGGUAACCGUAGGGGAACCUGCGGUUGGAUCACCUCCUUA
rnacentral:rRNA from 1 species